GUGUAUACACACACACACACGUGUGUGUCACAAAUAUAUAUUUUGUGUGUGUGUGUGUGUGUGUGUGUGUGUGUGUGUGUGUAC